GGUAAAGACCUCUUAAGUCUUUCUGUGGUUGAAUAAACCUAGAGGAAAGUUUUGAAGGCUGAUGUACUCCUGGUUUUAGGUCACUUAAAGGAAAAACCAUCAGAAAGAAUCAGACAUAAACUUCUGCCUUCCAGUGGGACAACAUAACCGGGCCUUUCUUACCCAACAGUGCAACUGAAGGACCCGCCGUGCUGCACCUGGAUGUGGUGGAAAGUUCGAUGGCUUCAGCAGCUCUGAACUGCACUCCAGCUGCCUAGCAUGAUGUCUGCUUAAAAGGGCAGCUGUGCAACCAGGGAACACACCUGAUCAUUUCCUGAUCAGGGCUGCCCUGCGUAAAGGAGUGGUUUCCACUGUGUACCAUCUGGACGUGCAAUCUUCCCCUCCAACACUGCUACUCCUUUCUCUGCUCUUGUCCUGGAGGUGGCUACAGAGGAGGGGCAGCAGGAUGCCAUGCUGGCCCAGGAGGGAAAGAAGAGGCCACUGUGCUGUGCCAUGUGCUGUGUGGCACUGCAGCAAGAAGCAGGGCAGAGGCCACCAUGCCGGGCUGCAGGAAUGCUGGAUAUCUGCACACUGCAGGAAAACAUGAGGAAGGAGUCAUGUGUGGAGUUAGUGACUCACACAAUUAAGAUUUGGCAUGGCUGAGUGGGAAGAUAGCAACAUGGUUUUCCCAUAAAAGGGGCAAAUAUGUUAUUGCUGUGGUAUAUGAGAUUUAAUUAAAUGGUAAGGUCAGUUCAACUGCUUCCAAAACUUUUGUUUGGAAGCUUGCAAGGCUUUGUUUCCUGCUAAAGCUGUUCAUUGAGUAUUACCAAUUAGUUCCCCUGAAAAUGAGAUUGAUUUCAUAGCACGGACUGUAACACUCUGGGCUUCUGUUGAAAAGCUGUGUUCAAGUCCAUUCCUUGGUGAGUAUUUAAGUAGAGUAGCUUCAACAGGAACACGAAUUAAUAGCUUAAACAGAGUAUCACCUUGGAAAUGCUUACUGCCCACCAGGCUAGAGGAAAGUGAAAUCUUGCCUGAGUCCUUAGUCUCUCAUUUGCAGCACCUGUUAGUUAUUACCUGUUUCUCUCAGAUUUUGACCAGAAGAUUUUUCUUUGUCUGGAGAAGGAAUUUCAAUUUAGUG